UACGGGGGGGGGCAAGCGUUGUUCGGAAUUACUGGGCGUAAAGGGCUCGUAGGCGGCCAACUAAGUCAGACGUGAAAUCCCCCAGGCUCAACCUGGGAACUGCGUCUGAUACUGGAUGGCUUGAAUCCGGGAGAGGGAUGCAGAAUUCCAGGUGUAGCGGUGAAAUGCGUAGAUAUCUGGAGGAAUACCGGUGGCGAAGGCGGCAUCCUGGACCGGCAUUGACGCUGAGGAGCGAAAGCCAGGGAGCAAACGGG
rnacentral:rRNA from 1 species